rnacentral:lncRNA from 1 species
CCUUGAGCAACCUCAUUAACCUCGAAUCUCUAUCUCCCAUUUCAAAUUUUAUUUUUAUUUAAUAUUAGUUAUUAUUUUUUUUGGUAUUUUUAUUCUUUCAAAACCAUGAAAGUUGUUUCUUGUUAUCUCAUCCGGCAUGCAUUAUGCAUAUUUGCAUGCUACCAGUUCAAUAAGAGUCAAAAGUUAUAAAAAGGCUUAGUAGAAUAUACAUAUC